UACAGAGGUCUCAAGCGUUGUUCGGAUUCAUUGGGCGUAAAGGGUGCGUAGGCGGCGUGGUAAGUCGGAUGUGAAAUCUCGGAGCUUAACUCCGAAACUGCAUUCGAUACUGCCGUGCUUGAGGACUGGAGAGGAGACUGGAAUUUACGGUGUAGCGGUGGAAUGCGUAGAGAUCCGGAAGAACACCGGUGGCGAAGGCGGCCUGCUGGGCAGUGGCUGACACUGAGGCGCGACAGCGUGGGGAGCAAACAGG
rnacentral:rRNA from 1 species